rnacentral:rRNA from 1 species
AGGUAGUAAUUUUAAACCUAUUUAUUUUGGCGGCAUCAAACCUAAUUAGAGGAAUUUGUCUAUUAAUCGACAACCCACGAUAAUUUUCACUUUAAAUAAAAAUCCAUAUACCGCCAUCUAUUUGAACUAAUAAAAAAAUCCUAUUCCAAAUAAAAAAUAAAAAUCUAGGUCAAGGUGUGAUCAAUUUUAAAGGCUAUGAUGAAUUACAUUAAAUAUAAUUUAAGAAUUUCCAAUUUAAAUAAUUUUAAUGAAAAAGGAUUUAAUAGUAAAAAAAAACCAAUAUUUUUUUUAGAAAAAGAAAAAAAUGUGC